ensembl:lncRNA
AUGGAUCCCCUCUAUCGUCCCGAAUUCCUCAUCCUCCUGCUGAAGCAGGAAGGACGUUCUCUCGAGGACCAUACCAGACAGUUUUCCUUAUUAGCUAAUGCCACCAGCUACCCGGACGGCGCGCUCUGCACCUUCUACAACACCAGCCUGAACUCCAAAUGCAGAGCGUUGUCGUCCGAAGAUGGUCCUCGAGAGGAUUUCGCCGCAUACGUGGAGUGGACUCUGGCGAGAAAUGGGUCACCUCUCACCGUCUGCCCCAUAGAGGACCUCGCCAGCCCCACUCCCGACCCAGAGACCAGCCAGCCACCAUCACGCCGCACGGAGCCAGAGCCCACCGCAGCCGCAGAGCCCGAGCCAUCCACUGUCAGGGAACAGGAUCUCGAGAGCACGACUGACCAGGUGUGUGAGCCGGCAACACCGUGCAUCGUGGGAGUCCUCGUGGAGAUCGAGGGCGUGGAGGAAAGCCCUGCCCACACUCCUGCGACUGAUGGUGAGCUGUAUACAGUCUCUGAAAGUCAUAUGGAGCAAGUUCUGGAUCUGAUGGACUGGUCUACGGAGGUAAUCCCUAAUAUUCCUGUUUCCCCGCUGGUUCCGUCCAGCCCUGAUUCCCCUGUAUACCCUCUCAGUCUCCCACUCCUACCUCCUCCAGUCAUUUCCUCUGCUCCAUUUCCGCUGGUUCCGCCCAGCCCUGAGUUUUCUGUUUCUCCGCUGGUUCCGCCCAGCCCUGAGUUUUCUGUUUCUCCGCUGGUUACGCCCAGCCCUGAAUCUUCUGUUUCUCCGCUGGUUACGCCCAGCCCUGAGUUUUCUGUUUCUCCGCUGGUUACGCCCAGCCCUGAGUUUUCUGUUUCUCCGCUGGUUCCGCCCAGCUCUGAAUCUUCUGUGUCUCCGCUGGUUCCGCCCAGCUCUGAAUCUUCUGUGUCUCCGCUGGUUCCGCCCAGCUCUGAAUCUUCUGUGUCUCCGCUGGUUCCGCCCAGCUCUGAAUCUUCUGUGUCUCCGCUGGUUCCGCCCAGCUCUGAAUCUUCUGUGUCUCCGCUGGUUCCGCCCAGCUCUGAAUCUUCUGUGUCUCCGCUGGUUCCGCCCAGCUCUGAAUCUUCUGUGUCUCCGCUGGUUCCACCCAGCUCUGAAUCUUCUGUGUCUCCGCUGGUUCCGCCCAGCUCUGAAUCUUCUGUGUCUCCGCUGGUUCCGCCCAGCCCUGAAUCUUCUGUGUCUCCUGUAUUCCCUCCCAGCCUCCCUCUCCCGCCUCCUCCCAAACCUGCUGGUCCCUCUACUCCUCUUUCGCUGGUUCCGUCCAGUCCUGAUCCUCCUGUCCUUCCUCCCAUCCUUCUCCUCUCUCCUCCUCCUAGACCAGCCAGUUCCUCGCCAUCCCUGCUGGUGCCAGUCAGUCCCGCAGCUCACCCUCAGUCCGCGCCAUCGGGGCGCGGUGGUUCGCCGCUGGACUGCCAGUCUCCAGCUCCGCCUUGGCGUGUUAAGGCCCUGUCUCCGCCUCCAGCCUCCGAGCCCUGGACUCCUCCUCGGUCCUUCAACCCAGCGGCUCCGCCUUGGCUCUUAGCUCCCUCGUCUCCACCGUGGCCUGUCAUCCCACCUGCUCCACCGGGCUCCCUCGUCCCUCCGGCUCCACCUUGGUCAGUCGUCGACCAUCCGCCGCCUCGGGACUCCACUCCUCUGGUUCCACCUCGUCACUCCAUCCCUCCGGCUCUGUCAGGCUCCUCCUUCCCUCCGGUUCCACCUCCAUCCUCGGUCGCUCCGGCUCCACAUCGGUCUGCCAGGACCCCGCCUCCGCCUUGGUCACCUGAGCCUUCUGCUCCACCUAGGCCCUCCGGAACCUCGACGUCCCCCUGGCUCUGCGGCUGUGCUGCUCCAUCUUGGGCUCCUCACCCACCGGUGCAGUCUCCGCCUGUCGGCCCCCUGGUGUCGUCGACCCCUCCUUCACCAUGGCUCCUCCCGCCGUCGACUCCACCUUGGAUCUCCGUCCUGGCUGGUCUCUGGUGGACCAUCUGGCUCCUCCUGCUCCUGUCUCCUCCCUGGCUCCUUCCUCCGUCUCCUCCCUGGCUCCUCCUUCUGUGGUCCCUGUCUGCUGGCCCCCUCCUGGAAGUCCGUCCUCCACCGGAACCUCCUCCCAAGUUCCCACCUACGCCCCCCCCUGUUGUUUCUACGGUGCGAGGACGCACCUACCGGGAGGGGGAGUACUGUCACACACCUGGACUCAUUUAA